rnacentral:tRNA from 1 species
GAGGGUAUAGCUCGGUGGUAGAGUGCUUGCUUAGCAUGCACAAGAUCCUGGGUUCAUUCCCUGGUACUUCCA